GUGUAGUGCAAUGGUUAGCUCGUUGGAUUUCUAAUCCAAAGGUUGUGGGUUCGAAUUCCACCUGAGAUG